ACCUCUCUUUGCAAGCUGGGUAAGGUGCCUGCACAUUUUGAUCACGAUUAAUGGAAAAAAAGCAUUGAAAUUAUCCAGUAAGGUACAAGCAAUCCUUAUUUUAUUACAAAUUGGACAUAAGAUGAUAGAAAGGGAAAGAAUGUUGAAACUCAGGAAUAUGAAGUAUAAGUAGCUUUUUCUCUCCCCCUGAAAUGUCUUGACA
rnacentral:misc_RNA from 1 species